rnacentral:lncRNA from 1 species
CUUGGAAGAAGAUAAACCAGAUGAGGCAUAUGUAGGGCGAAGCCACUUAAGGACCAGCGCCAGACCCGCACUGGAAUUUUCGGUACUGAAAUCUUCAGCUGGAGUUGAAGACAGGAUUUUGGCCAGUGAAGUGUCGCUGCCUCGCCUGCUACCAGAAUAAGGUUGGAUGUAGCCAGUAGCCUAAAACAACCAUUGUUGCAGUCUCCAUAAACACGAACGCAGAGUGGAAGCCUGGAAGAAGAAGGUAGAUGAAUUUUUUGGCCAGUUUUUAAAUUGUUUUUCUAGCCUGUAGGCCUUUUUUGUUGGGUUUUUUUUUUUUUUUUUUUUUUUUUUUUUUUCAAAUGAGCCCAUAUUCAUAGCAUAUCCUUGUUUGGCCGUGAAAUUAUUACCCAGAAACCAAAUCAACCCUAUCCCUAUGUCUCUCUCCCGCUGCUGCCCUUGAGGCCAUCGAUUCGGCAACACCAAGCUUUCUUCAACCUUGUGAGUUGUAUUUGCUGCAGCUGAGUCGUCGAAGCCGAUCCUCCGCCCUUCGCCACUGCUGUUGUAAGCCUCUCUCUCUCUAUUUUUUUUUUUAGUUCAUUUUUUAUGCCAUUUUUAUUGGGGAAUAAUUUAUGAUUUUGAUUUAUGCUUUAUGAUUGCGACCUUGCUGAGGUUUAUAAUUUAUGAUUUCUUGUAGUCAUUGUAGAAUAUGGAGAUUUAAGUCACUAGACAUUGAUUCUGUGAAAUUUUUCGGAUGAUUUUCUUAUUUGUAAAUUUUUGGAGGCUUGGUAUUUUAAUAUUUACGGAUGAUUCUUGCUGAAAUUGUGGCCUCGUAUUAUGAAUUUCUAAUAAUUGAUGACUCUUUCGGGUGCUUUGUUUGGCACUACCAUUAGCAGAAGUGGGAACUAGAGUGAGAAACAAUAGCAACAGCCAGAGAAGUAGGGACUAAAAAGCGGAUUAAAAAAAUCCCUGUAGGCUAUAGUCGAUAUAUAAAAUUGUGCCCGCACUGGAUGUAAACCCUGGCUCCGCCCCUGAACCCACGCCAACCCCUGGUA